GACGGAGGAUGCAAGCGUUAUCCGGAAUGAUUGGGCGUAAAGCGUCCGCAGGUGGCAGUUCAAGUCUGCUGUCAAAGACCGGGGCUUAACUUCGGAAAGGCAGUGGAAACUGAACAGCUAGAGUAUGGUAGGGGCAGAGAGAAUUCCUGGUGUAGCGGUGAAAUGCGCAGAUAUCAGGAAGAACACCCGUGGCGAAGGCGGUUCUCUGGGACGGUACUGACGCUGAGACGCGAAAGCGUGGGGAGCGAACAGG
rnacentral:rRNA from 1 species